rnacentral:rRNA from 1 species
UACGUAGGGUGCGAGCGUUAAUCGGAAUUACUGGGCAUAAAGCGUGCGCAGGCGGGCUUUUAAGCCAGACGUGAAAUCCCCGGGCUUAACCUGGGAAUGGCGUUUGGGACUGGGAGUCUGGAGUGCGGCAGAGGAGACUGGAAUUCCUGGUGUAGCAGUGAAAUGCGUAGAUAUCAGGAGGAACACCGAUGGCGAAGGCAGGUCUCUGGGCUGACACUGACGCUCAUGCACGAAAGCGUGGGGAGCAAACAGG